rnacentral:lncRNA from 1 species
GCCGUAGGGCGGGGCCGAGUCCAAGCCACGUCGAAGGCUCCGCCCCAUAGGGGCCGCCCCGCUUCCAGUGCCGAGGCGCAUGCGCCGGAUUUUUCAGGCUCCUUCUCAAGGAGCAAGCGCGUCUCAACAGCAGCAGUUUGAUUGGCUGAGCUGCACAGGGAUCUAGGCCUGGAGGUCAGCUUUAGCUCCCAAAUUUUUGCAGCUGCCGGGCAGUGACUCGGCUGCGGUCACUCAUCGCCUAGGUCGCCGAGCCCAGCGAGGACGGGCAGGGCGGCUUCAGCUUCAGUCGCACCUGGUUCCAUCGCACCCAGAGCCACAACCUCAAUCGAGCAUGUUCUCCAGGGCCCAGGUGAGGCGAGUUCUGCAGUGGGUGCCCGGGAAGGAGCGACUCGGCCUCUACAGGUUCCUGCCCUUCUUUUUUAUCCUGGGAGGAACAAUGGAGUGGAUCAUGAUUAACGUGCGCGUGGGCCAGGAGACCUUCUGUAAGUGGGGGGUGUAGUAGCCUCCCUUUCCCUUCAGGGAGGCAUGAGAUGGCAGGGAUCCGUUUCCCGGGGGUAUUAGACUGCAGACCGCUUUUUCUCCUUAGCGCGAGCUGCUUUUUAUUCUUGUCGGGAGGGCUAGCACUGUUCCAUUCACUUGGCAGUUGACCCCGCCUAUGGCGCCGGCUCUUCUGUACGUCUUGCACAUUGACGUCCAGCCUUGCGAUCUUUCCUGCACUUUUCAAGCUUGCCCUUCACCCUUGACUUUGAGCCGAGCCUAAGGAACAGGAUAGCUCACAAACAACAGAAGAGGGGGUGGAUCCUGAGGAUUCAUGGAAAUCCCUAUUAACUGUCCUCUCAGAACUCUUCAGCCCACACCCUAGAGGGAGCCGACCUGCCUGCCUAAUCACCAUUGUCUUAAGAGGGCAGUCACUGGCACCAGGUCUUUGGCCUGGGAGCAGAUGCUCAGCACAGUGAAAAGAAUGCCUGACAUUGCUUAGCUGAGCACUAUCUCUGGGCAGACUAGUUCCUUUCAGGAAGACUUCCCCAACCCCUAGGCCCUUUCUGCUUUGUCCCUCUUCUGAAAUAAUAUAUCACUUGUGAACUUUUUUUUUUUUUUUGGUGGUGUGGGGGAUGGAACACAGGGACUCACACUAGCUAGGUCAUUGCUCUAUUAUUGAGCUAUAUGCUCCCAGCCCUACCGACUCUCAUUUUUUAAUUGGAACUUUAGUGCUUCCUUCUGUUCUACCAUUCUAUUUAUUGAACAUCCAUGAGAGGAUCUAAUUAACAAGGCAGAGGUUUUUUACUGCCAGAGAGCUAAUGGGAAAGAAAGACCAGAGUUGGCUGGGUGUGGUGGCUGAGAUAGCAGAGUUCAAAGGCAGCCUCAGCAAAAGUGAGGUGCUAAGCAACUCAGACCCUGUCUCUAAAUAAAAUACAAAAUAAGGCUGGGGAUGUGGCUCAGUGGGCCAGUGUCCCUGAGUUCAAUCCCUGGUACCAAACAGACAAAAAACCCAGUUACCAUCAGGUCUGAGGAUGUAGCUCUCAGUGGUACAGCACUUAUCUAGCAUGAAAGUUUAAUCCCCAGUACCGGGGACUAGGGAAGGAAAAAAGGGAGAUGGUUUACUAUUGUGAUCAGUGCUUAGAGGAGCACAGGAGUGUUGGGUGGGCACCUCCCUGGACUAGAUGGUGCAGGGAAGGCUUCUGGAAGCAGUUACCAGGUAUAGCAGGCUCUGAAGACUGUCAGCCAGAUGCAAGUUCUGUAGAAUUGAGUCUUCAUGGGCAGUGCUGAGAACUGGAGGCCUUGUGUGUAUUCUGUGUUUGAAAAAUUGAAGCAGCAAGCAGAGGGAGGUGUAAAGUGGCUAGAGAGGUGUCUAGCAGAGCCACAUAGGGACUGCAGAACCAAGAAUAUAUCCCAAGGACUGAAGGGUUUGAAGCAGCUCCUUGUGGAGAGAUUGGUAAGAACACCUAGGCUGUGUGGUUGUCCGGAGUUCAGAUGGUAGCCAGGUCUACUUUGAGGCAGAAGGGAUGCCAAGAAGUAGGUGGAGUUGAGACAGCCCAAAGGGUGACAAAGCCAGGUGAUUAAGUGGGCUUAAGACAUGAGACCUGGAUGCUGGGGCAGGGGUAACUCUCCUGAAGGUGCUGAACACAGGCAGUGUGAUCCCUGGGCCCCAUUUGGAAUGUGCUAAGGAGAUGGUUAUAAAAACCUGAAGGUCAGGAAGCAGAUGUGGGCCAGAAACCUGUGAAUGGCUUUGUGAACCAUUCACAGGCAAAUUGUGAUGAAAAAGUCAAAUAACCAACAUGUUUAGGGUGACUGAGAGGCAAGGAUGGACACCAGGAAGGUUUGUUAUCACAGAAGAAAGGAGGUUAAGGAAUUUUGACCCUGUAAAGGGAAGGUAACCCCCUGCUCUCAGAAAGACUAGAGGCUAGGCAAAUGUUGAUCAGAAAGGAGUGAGAGGAUGGGAUCAGUGCUUGGUGGGGCGAAUAGCCCCUUGGAAGUUAGCUGCAAGAGUGUCUUAUGAUGAGUGGCUAGGUGGGGGUGAGGAAAGAAUGGUGAGGGUCAUGGCUGAGGACACUGGAUUGUCACACAUCUCAGUAUACCCAGUCAAGAGGCACUGGCUGGCUUUGUAAUACACUGCAAGAAGGGUGAAGCAUGGAAAAGAGAGGAAUUUGGAUUAAUGGCUGCUUGGGGCUUUGAGGGUGUGUGAAGCAGCUGAUAUUGAAUCUGUCAUCUCAGCUACUCUGGAAGCCAAGGCAGAAGGAUCCAUGUUCAAGGCCAACCUAGGCAACUGAGUGAGAUCUUGUCUCAAACAAAAACCCCAAAGGGCUGGAGGUGUAGCUUAGUGGUAGAGUUUUUGCCUAGCAUGCAGGGCCCCAGGUUCAAUUUGCCGCAGUCCAGCUGCAGCAAAAUAACCAGGGGGGUGAUGAACAACUUGUGUAGAUUGAUACAGCAGGAGUAGGAGCCGUUUAUUGCAGGACAGGAGCAGUAUUUAUACAUUCCACACAGCUUAUCUAAUUAGCAUAAACUAGAUACAUCAGUCAACCAAUAAGGAAUCUCCACACUUAAUGGCUCGCUGGUGUUACUUCACAAACCACUCCCUCUGGCAUUUUGCCAGGCACCAUCCAGACUUGUUUACGAACUCUAACAUUCCCCUGGCAAAAUGCCAGGUGUUAUUUUGACUUGUUUACAGACUCUAACAUCAAUUCCCAUCACUCCCCCCCCCCCCCCAAAAAAAAAAGGUAUUAAUCAUGAUGCGGGUGGAGAAGGCACAAGAUGAGGCAAGGAGCCUAAACCAGGGUUUUCAGAUUGAAGGGACAUGUGCAGGUGCCAGUGCAGAGAAGAUGGUGGCUGUCAAAUGGCAUAAGCCUUACAGGAAGAGGAUUUAAAACAGAACAAAAAAAAACAUGGCACUAGAGAUUGAACCUAGGGCCACUUUGCUACUGAGUUACAUCCCGUUUUUUUUUUUUUUUUUAAAGACAACAAAACUCAACAGCUGAACAACUGUUGAGGAUCUUGCUGAGUUGCUGAGGCUGACCUCAAACUUGUGAUCAACCUCCAGCUACCUGAGUAGCUGGGAUGACAGGUGUGUGCCACCCACAGGAAGAUUUUUUACUUGAAGAAGGAUAAUCAAUAGUCUGGAGACAUAGAGGCUGAGAACAAGGAAACUGACCUCCCUAUCCCAUCCUGAGGUCUGGAGUGUGGGAGAAGCAGCAGCCAAGAGCCUUUGAGGAGCUAGGUUUUAGUUAAGAAUGAUGUCAGAGAGCAGAACAGAAACCACAGGAGAGGGUUGGGGAUGUAGCUCAGUAGUAGAACAAGUACUUGCUUAACAUGCAUGAGGCUUCAAGUUCAAUCCCCAAUACCACAGCAGAAAAACAAACAAAUAAAUAAAAAAAGGUGGGAGGGAUGGGAAUAAAGAAAUGAGGAAACUCCUAAAACACUACUUAGAGAUGGGCCAGGACAUGACCCUAUCUUUGAAGAUACUGAUAUUUAGCUUGUUAUUUUAAGUCUAGGACUCUUACAUAAACAGUGGUCAUUUAACUUAUUUUGUUUUAAAUUAUAUUUUGGCACUGGAUUAAACAUUAAUGUUGAAAUUCAGAAACAGGCAACAGACUUGAGACUACUGAUUGAAUUCUGAAUAUCUUUAAUUCCUCGGUUUCUUAAAAAUCUAAGCACAGUUUUUGUUUGAUACAGAUGAUGUCUACCGAAGAAAAGCCUCAGAGAGACAGUAUCAGAAAGGCCUGGAUGACACAUCUGAGACUGAACUUCAACAAUCAAUAAAAUGAAUAUGAAUUUUCACUAGUUUUUUUCCUCAAGAAUGUACUCUUACAGGCCUGGGGUUGUGUCUCAGUGGUAGAGCACUUGCCUAGCAUGUGUGAGGCACUGGGUCUGAUUCACAGCACUGUAUAUAAUAAAAUAAAGGUCCAUCAACAACUUAAAAAAAAAAAUGUACCCUUCCAAAGUCUUGUUCUCACAGCUGCACAUUAUCCUAAGAAUUGCCUUUUUAAAGAAUUUUCAUAGUUUUGCAGUCUCUGCUUGAGUACUUCCCAAAUUACUGUUGGAUAGUACUUAUAUAAAGAAUAUUCCUCCUAAAACACCUACUUAUCUAUCCAAUGAACCUAGUUCCUUUUUUUUUUUUGUACUGGGGAUUGAACCCAGGGGUGCUUUGCCACUGAGCCACAUUUACCCAAGCCCUUUUUAUUUUGAGACAGGGUCUUGCUAAAUUGCUGAGGCUGGCUUUGAACUUGUGAUCUUCCUGCUUUAGCCUCCCCAAGUCACUGAGAUCACAUGCUUCUGUCACUGCCUCUGGCAACCCGGCCCUUUUUGAGACUGGGUCUUGCUAAAUUGUUGAGGCUUGUGAUCUGCCUGCUUCAGCCUCCUGAAUAGGUGGGAUUAUUGGCAUGUACCAUAAAAUAUUUUUCUACUUUCUUUUUUUGCAGUGCUGAGGAUCAAACCCAGGGCCUUACACAUGCUAGAGGAAAGUAUUAUCACUGAGCUACAUCCCCUGACCCUGUGAAAUAUUUCUUGAAUACAGCAACCAGGAUGCUUUUCAGUACAGUUUGAAUUGUUUGUUUUUUAAACAAAACAAAACAAACAAAAAACCCCCCAAUUCCCCACCUCCAGGGGUGCUACUGAUCUACAUCCCUAGCCCUUUUCAUUUUUUAUUUUGAGAUAGGGUCUCAUGGAGUUGCUGAGACUGGCCUUGAACUGUUGCUCCUCCUGCCUCAGCUUCUGGAGUUGCUGAUAUUAGAGACCAUGUUUGGUGGUAACCUUUCGUUGCAGAAUUAAAAUUAAGUCAUGAACAUAAAAGAUCUUCAUUGUUAUGGUCACCUAAACUAGGAAAAUUGUGCAGAUUACAUUUCUGUCUGCUACCAGCUUAUAAACUCUUCAGGAGGGUAGUGGGAAUUCCUGACACACUAAUUCCUAUUAGUGCUCUUGUGAACUCCCUUGCAUAGGAAAGCAGGACUCCAUGAUUCAUGCCCCUUGAUGAUCAAAGUGCUGUUCUUUCAUUCAGCUGCUAAAGAUAGAGAACUGCUCCCUCCCAUAAGACAGGGAAACUACAGAGUUGAGCCAGAUCAGAGGUGCAGUCUACUGAGUGAGAAUAUGGCAAUGCCAUCUAGCACAAGUUUGGGUCACUGGUGGAAAAAGCAAAGGCAUAUUUACAUGCCUGGAUAACUACAUCCAAUAUCUCAUCUUUGCAAAUGAGAAAAUACCUACAUUCUAAAGAAGACUGAGUUUCAAAAGUUUCUAACUUUUGUGACAGAAUAAAGAAGCUGACGCCAAGGGCCACAGGGAAUAAAGUUAAUUAUCUCUGGCACAAAUGUCUCCUG